rnacentral:rRNA from 9 species
AGUUCUCGAAGACGAUCAGAUACCGUCCUAGUCUCAACUAUAAACGAUGCCGACCAGGGAUCGGCGGAUGUUGCUUAUAGGACUCCGCCGGCACCUUAUGAGAAAUCAAAGUCUUUGGGU